CUUUACACAUGCAAGUCGAACGGCAGCACGGGUGCUUGCACCUGGUGGCGAGUGGCGAACGGGUGAGUAAUAUAUCGGAACGUAUCCAAUAAUGGGGGAUAACUAGCCGAAAGGUUAGCUAAUACCGCAUACGCCCUGAGGGGGAAAGCUGGGGAUCGUAAGACCUAGCGUUAAUGGAGCGGCCGAUAUCUGAUUAGCUAGUUGGUGGGGUAAGAGCCUACCAAGGCGACGAUCAGUAGCUGGUCUGAGAGGACGACCAGCCACACUGGAACUGAGACACGGUCCAGACUCCUACGGGAGGCAGCAGUGGGGAAUUUUGGACAAUGGGGGCAACCCUGAUCCAGCCAUUCCGCGUGAGUGAAGAAGGCCUUCGGGUUGUAAAGCUCUUUCGCAAGGGAAGAAAACUCGAUCUCUAAUAUAGGUUGAGGCUGACGGUACCUUGAUAAGAAGCACCGGCUAACUACGUGCCAGCAGCCGCGGUAAUACGUAGGGUGCGAGCGUUAAUCGGAAUUACUGGGCGUAAAGCGUGCGCAGGCGGUUUUGAAAGUCAGAUGUGAAAUCCCCGGGCUCAACCUGGGAACUGCGUUUGAAACUCCAAAGCUAGAGUAUGGGAGAGGGAGGUAGAAUUCCACGUGUAGCAGUGAAAUGCGUAGAGAUGUGGAGGAAUACCAAUGGCGAAGGCAGCCUCCUGGCCUAAUACUGACGCUCAUGCACGAAAGCGUGGGGAGCAAACAGGAUUAGAUACCCUGGUAGUCCACGCCCUAAACGAUGUCUACUAGUUGUUGGGAGAGUAAAAUCUUUUAGUAACGAAGCUAACGCGAGAAGUAGACCGCCUGGGGAGUACGGUCGCAAGAUUAAAACUCAAAGGAAUUGACGGGGCCCCGCACAAGCGGUGGAUUAUGUGGAUUAAUUCGAUGCAACGCGAAAAACCUUACCUAGCCUUGACAUGUAGCGAACUUAGCAGAGAUGCUUUGGUGCCCGA
rnacentral:rRNA from 1 species